GAUGAACGCUGGCGGCGUGCCUAAUACAUGCAAGUCGAGCGAACGGACGCUAAGCUUGUUUCUCUGUUGUUAGCGGCGGACGGGUGUGUCACACGUGUAUACCCCACCUAUCAGACUGGGAUCACUUCGGGACACCGGCGCUUAUACCGUAUAAUAUCUUGCUCCGCAUGGUUCAAAAGUGAAAUACGGUCUUGCUGUCUCUUCUAGAUGCAUCCGCGCUGCAUUAGAUAGUUGUUACGGUAACGGCUUACCAAGGCAACGAUGCAUAGACGACCUGAGAGAGUGGUAGGCGACACUGGAAGUGAGACACGGUCAAGACGCCUAAGAGAGGCAGCAGAAGGGAAUCGUACGCAGUGGGGGAGAGCAUGACGGAGCAGGGCGGCGUGAGUGGCAAAGAUGUUCGGAGCGUAAAAAUCUGUUAUGAGGGAAGAACAGAUGUGGAAGGAAAUGAGCAGAGCGUGACGGUAACUGAUAAGAAAGCCACGGCUAACUACGUG
rnacentral:rRNA from 1 species